UAUCGGAUUGAUACUAAGCCAUGCGAGUCAUUGCAGUAAUGCAAGGCAGACGGCUCAGUAACGCGUAGUCAACCUACCCUAUGGACGGGAAUAACCUCGGGAAACUGAGUAUAAUGCCCGAUAGAACACUAUUCCUGGAAUGGUUUGUGUUCCAAAUGAUCUAUCGCCGUAGGAUGGGACUGCGGCCUAUCAGUUUGUUGGUGAGGUAAUGGCCCACCAAGACUAUUACAGGUACGGGCUCUGAGAGGAGUAGCCCGGAGAUGGGUACUGAGACACGGACCCAGGCCCUAUGGGGCGCAGCAGGCGAGAAAACUUUGCAAUGUGCGAAAGCACGACAAGGUUAAUCCGAGUGGUUUGUGCUAAACGAACCUUUUGACAGUCCUAGAAACACUGUUGAAUAAGGGGUGGGCAAGUUCUGGUGUCAGCCGCCGCGGUAAAACCAGCACCUCAAGUGGUCAGGAUGAUUAUUGGGCCUAAAGCAUCCGUAGCCGGCUCUGUAAGUUUUCGGUUAAAUCUGUACGCUCAACGUACAGGCUGCCGGGAAUACUGCAGAGCUAGGGAGUGGGAGAGGUAGACGGUACUCGGUAGGAAGGGGUAAAAUCCUUUGAUCUAUUGAUGACCACCUGUGGCGAAGGCGGUCUACCAGAACACGUCCGACGGUGAGGGAUGAAAGCUGGGGGAGCAAACCGGAUUAGAUACCCGGGUAGUCCCAGCUGUAAACUAUGCAAACUCAGUGAUGCAUUGGCUUGUGGCCAAUGCAGUGCUGCAGGGAAGCCGUUAAGUUUGCCGCCUGGGAAGUACGUACGCAAGUAUGAAACUUAAAGGAAUUGGCGGGGGAGCACCACAAGGGGUGAAGCCUGCGGUUCAAUUGGAGUC
rnacentral:rRNA from 1 species